UCUAACUUUUAUCAAGCUUUGAUCAAAGACUUCCUAAGUCAUCGAUUGAUGAGAUUGCUUAGGAUGAUAUCUUCCCUUAUCGGGAGUAAUCGAUUCCUUGUUGACUUACUCACUACCUUCAUAUAUAUUUUACUAUAUCCAGAAUACCCCAUACAUAAAAAAUAAACCAAAAUAUAGAUCUAUAUAUAUAAGGUACUGUGGUAGCCUCA
rnacentral:lncRNA from 1 species